rnacentral:RNase_P_RNA from 1 species
GGUCAGAUGGGAGGAAAGUCCGGGCAACACAGGGCAAUCCGCUACCUAACAGGUAGUAGUCAGCAAUGGCUAGCAAGUGUAGAAGAAAAUAACCGCAGAGCUAUUCUGUAAGGGUGAGAAGGUGAGGUAAGGGCUCACCAGGCGUAUGGUGACAUACGUGCUGUACACACCGGAUGUUGAAAGUUCGCGUAUACCGGCGCUCCGCAAGGAAAAGGGCUGCCCGCCCGAGCUGGAGGGUAGAACGAUAGAGGCCGGUGGUGACAUCGGUAGCAGAUAAAUGACAGGCGGUCCCGUCAUGGCGGGAUGCACAGAACCCGGCUUAUAGAGCCACUG